CCUACGGGAGGCAGCAGUAGGGAAUAUUGCUCAAUGGGGGAAACCCUGAUGCAGCGACGCCGCGUGGCGGAUGAAGGUUUUCGGAUUGUAAACUCCUUUUGUUAGAGAAGAUAAUGAAGGUAUCUAACGUAUAAGCAACGGCUAACUCCGUGCCAGCAGCCGCGGUAAUACGGGGGGUGCAAGCGUUACUCGGUAGCACUGUGCGUAACGAGCGCGUAGGCGGGAUAGCAAGUCAGAUGUGAAAUCCUAUGGCUUAACCAGAGAACUGCAUUUGAAACUGUUAUUCUAGAGUGUGGGAGAGGUAGGGGGAAUUCUUGGUGUAGGGGUGAAAUCCGUAGAGAUCAAGAGGAAUACUCAUGGCGAAGGC
rnacentral:rRNA from 1 species